rnacentral:rRNA from 1 species
UCAAGCGAACAAGGGCGCAGGGCGAAUGCCUUGGCACUGGGAGCCGAUGAAAGACGUGAUAAGCUGCGAUAAGCUUCGGGGAGCUGCAAAUAAGCAUUGAUCCGGAGAUUUCUGAAUGAGGAAACUCACCUGGGUUCAUACUCAGGUACGUUAUACUGAACUUCAAAAUAGGUAUAUCGAGGGAACCGCCUGAACUGAAACAUCUAAGUAGGGCGAGGAAGAGACAUCAAACGAGAUUCCGUAAGUAGUGGCGAGCGAACGCGGAAGAGGGCAAACCGAGAGUAGAAAUACUUUCGGGGUACGGACUGCUUUUAGGACUUAAUCUGUUAACCGAACGGCAUGGGAAGGCCGGUCAGAGAGUGUGAGAACCACGUAGGUGAAAACGGAGAGAGCUGCGCAGGAUCCAGAGUACGGCCAGACACGUGAAACCUGGUCGGAAUAUGGGGGGACCACCCUCCAACCCUAAAUACUACCCAGUGACCGAUAGCGUAUAGUACUGUGAAGGAAAGGUGAAAAGCACCCCGGGAGGGGAGUGAAAAAGAACCUGAAACCCUGUGCCUACAAGCACCUAGAGCACGUCAAUGUGUGAUAGGGUACUUUUUGUAGAACGGUCCGGCGAGCGAUUGUAUGCAGCAAGGUUAAGGACUUAAGGUCUGGAGCCGAAGCGAAAGCGAGUUUGAAAAGGGCGUUAAGUUGCAUAUAAUGGGCCCGAAACCGGGUGACCUACCCAUGGUCAGGUUGAAGUGGAAGUAAAAUUCCAUGGAGGACCGAACCGACCUCCGUUGAAAAGGCGGCGGAUGAACUGUGGGUAGCGGAGAAAUUCCAAUCGAACCCGGAGAUAGCUGGUUCUCCCCGAAAUAGUUUUAGGACUAGCCUCAAGUUAGAUACCUGGAGGUAAAGCACUGAAUAGCCUAGCGGCCGAGAGGUUAGCGAAGCUUAUCAAACUCAGAAUGCCAGAGUAUUGAUGCUUGGGAGUCAGACAGUGUCAGAUAAAUGUCAUUGUCAAAAGGGAAACAGCCCAGAUCUACAGCUAAGGUCCCAAAGUCAGGUUAAGUGGAAAACGAUGUGAAGAUACGCAGACAACCAGGAUGUUGGCUCAGAAGCAGCCACUCAUUCAAAGAGUGCGUAAUAGCUCACUGGUCGAGCGUCUUUGCGCGGAGAAUUUAACGGGGCUAAACCUGACACCGAAGCUUAGGCAAUACAGCAAUGUAUUGGGUAGGGGAGCGUUGUAUACGCGGUGAAACAGUAGCGCAAGCGGCUGUGGAGUGUAUAGAAGUGAGAAUGCCGGAAUGAGUAGCGCGAAUGCAGUGAGAAUCUGCAUGGCCGAAAGCCUCAGGUUUCUGGAGGAAGGUUCGUCCGCUCCAGGUUAGUCGGGAGCUAAGGUGAGGCCUAACGGCGUAGCCGAUGCACAGACGGUAGAGAUUCCGUCACCACCAAAAGAGUUAAACACAGGGACACAUUUGAAGUCUCGGAGCCGGGUGUUGGUUCCGGUAGCGAUCGAGGGAAGUUAGUACCGAAGUCCGGGAUGGAAGAUGGCGAGAAAAGCUGUGUGUAUUUCUGCGGUGCCCGUACCGCAAACCGACACAGGUAGGUAGGAAGAAGAUUCUAAGGCCAACGGGAGAAGGGUUGUUAAGGAACUCGGCAAAUUGACCCCGUAACUUCGGGAGAAGGGGUGCUCCAGAGAUGGAGCCGCAGAGAAUCGGCCCAAGCAACUGUUUACCAAAAACACAGGUUUGUGCUAAAUCGAAAGAUGACGUAUACGAGCUGACGCCUGCCCGGUGCUGGAAGGUUAAGAGGAGAUGUGCAAGCAUUGAAUCGAAGCCCCAGUGAACGGCGGCCGUAACUAUAACGGUCCUAAGGUAGCGAAAUUCCUUGUCAGGUAAG